CAGCAGGCGCGAAAACUCCACACUGUACGACAGUACGAUGGGGCUAUCUCGAGUGCAGUCCGAUAAGGGCUGCUUUUCCAUAGAGUAAUAUCCUGUGGGAAUAAGAGGGGGGCAAGACUGGUGUCAGCCGCCGCGGUAACACCAGCCCCUCGAGUGGUGGGGACUAUUAUUUGGUCUAAAGCGUCCGUAGCUGGCUGUAUCCGUCCCCCGUUAAAUCCAGCGUCCUAAACGUUGGACUGCGGGUGAUACCAUACAGCUAGAGGGUGGGAUAGGUGAGCGGUAUUUCUGGGGUAGGGGCGAAAUCCUUUGAUCCCAGGAGGACCACCAGUGGCGAAGGCUGCUCACUAGAACACGCCUGACGGUCAGGGACAAAAGCUGGGGCAGCGAACCGGAUUAGAUACCCGGGUAGUCCCAGCUGUAAACGAUGCUGCUAGGUGUUGGGUCGGCCACGCGCCGCCCCAGUGCCGCAGGGAAGCCGUUAAGCUAGCCACCUGGGGAGUACGGCCGCAAGGCUGAAACUUAAAGGAAUUGGCGGGGGAGCAC
rnacentral:rRNA from 1 species